CUGCUAUCACUCAAUCUGGAGACCGAACCCACACCACCAGUGAGAAGACGUAAAGAAAAAGAAGGUAGUAAACUAUCACUCAAUCUGGAGACCGAACCCACACCACCAGUGAGAAGACGUAAAGAAAAAGAAGGUAGUAAACUAUCACUCAAUCUGGAGACCGAACCCACACCACCAGUGAGAAGACGUAAAGAAAAAGAAGGUAGUAAACUAUCACUCAAUCUGGAGACCGAACCCACACCACCAGUGAGAAGACGUAAAGAAAAAGAAGGUAGUAAACUAUCACUCAAUCUGGAGACCGAACCCACACCACCAGUGAGAAGACGUAAAGAAAAAGAAGGUAGUAAACUAUCACUCAAUCUGGAGACCGAACCCACACCACCAGUGAGAAGACGUAAAGAAAAAGAAGGUAGUAAACUAUCACUCAAUCUGGAGACCGAACCCACACCACCAGUGAGAAGACGUAAAGAAAAAGAAGGUAGUAAACUAUCACUCAAUCUGGAGACCGAACCCACACCACCAGUGAGAAGACGUAAAGAAAAAGAAGGUAGUAAACUAUCACUCAAUCUGGAGACCGAACCCACACCACCAGUGAGAAGACGUAAAGAAAAAGAAGGUAGUAAACUAUCACUCAAUCUGGAGACCGAACCCACACCACCAGUGAGAAGACGUAAAGAAAAAGAAGGUAGUAAACUAUCACUCAAUCUGGAGACCGAACCCACACCACCAGUGAGAAGACGUAAAGAAAAAGAAGGUAGUAAACUAUCACUCAAUCUGGAGACCGAACCCACACCACCAGUGAGAAGACGUAAAGAAAAAGAAGGUAGUAAACUAUCACUCAAUCUGGAGACCGAACCCACACCACCAGUGAGAAGACGUAAAGAAAAAGAAGGUAGUAAACUAUCACUCAAUCUGGAGACCGAACCCACACCACCAGUGAGAAGACGUAAAGAAAAAGAAGGUAGUAAACUAUCACUCAAUCUGGAGACCGAACCCACACCACCAGUGAGAAGACGUAAAGAAAAAGAAGGUAGUAAACUAUCACUCAAUCUGGAGACCGAACCCACACCACCAGUGAGAAGACGUAAAGAAAAAGAAGGUAGUAAACUAUCACUCAAUCUGGAGACCGAACCCACACCACCAGUGAGAAGACGUAAAGAAAAAGAAGGUAGUAAACUAUCACUCAAUCUGGAGACCGAACCCACACCACCAGUGAGAAGACGUAAAGAAAAAGAAGGUAGUAAACUAUCACUCAAUCUGGAGACCGAACCCACACCACCAGUGAGAAGACGUAAAGAAAAAGAAGGUAGUAAACUAUCACUCAAUCUGGAGACCGAACCCACACCACCAGUGAGAAGACGUAAAGAAAAAGAAGGUAGUAAACUAUCACUCAAUCUGGAGACCGAACCCACACCACCAGUGAGAAGACGUAAAGAAAAAGAAGGUAGUAAACUAUCACUCAAUCUGGAGACCGAACCCACACCACCAGUGAGAAGACGUAAAGAAAAAGAAGGUAGUAAACUAUCACUCAAUCUGGAGACCGAACCCACACCACCAGUGAGAAGACGUAAAGAAAAAGAAGGUAGUAAACUAUCACUCAAUCUGGAGACCGAACCCACACCACCAGUGAGAAGACGUAAAGAAAAAGAAGGUAGUAAACUAUCACUCAAUCUGGAGACCGAACCCACACCACCAGUGAGAAGACGUAAAGAAAAAGAAGGUAGUAAACUAUCACUCAAUCUGGAGACCGAACCCACACCACCAGUGAGAAGACGUAAAGAAAAAGAAGGUAGUAAACUAUCACUCAAUCUGGAGACCGAACCCACACCACCAGUGAGAAGACGUAAAGAAAAAGAAGGUAGUAAACUAUCACUCAAUCUGGAGACCGAACCCACACCACCAGUGAGAAGACGUAAAGAAAAAGAAGGUAGUAAACUAUCACUCAAUCUGGAGACCGAACCCACACCACCAGUGAGAAGACGUAAAGAAAAAGAAGGUAGUAAACUAUCACUCAAUCUGGAGACCGAACCCACACCACCAGUGAGAAGACGUAAAGAAAAAGAAGGUAGUAAACUAUCACUCAAUCUGGAGACCGAACCCACACCACCAGUGAGAAGACGUAAAGAAAAAGAAGGUAGUAAACUAUCACUCAAUCUGGAGACCGAACCCACACCACCAGUGAGAAGACGUAAAGAAAAAGAAGGUAGUAAACUAUCACUCAAUCUGGAGACCGAACCCACACCACCAGUGAGAAGACGUAAAGAAAAAGAAGGUAGUAAACUAUCACUCAAUCUGGAGACCGAACCCACACCACCAGUGAGAAGACGUAAAGAAAAAGAAGGUAGUAAACUAUCACUCAAUCUGGAGACCGAACCCACACCACCAGUGAGACGACGUAAAGAAAAAGAAGGUAGUAAACUAUCACUCAAUCUAGAGACUGAACCCACACCACCAGUGAGACGACGUAAAGAAAAAGAAGGUAGUAAACUAUCACUCAAUCUAGAGACUGAACCCACACCACCAGUGAGACGACGUAAAGAAAAAGAAGGUAGUAAACUAUCACUCAAUCUAGAGACUGAACCCACACCACCAGUGAGACGACGUAAAGAAAAAGAAGGUAGUAAACUAUCACUCAAUCUAGAGACUGAACCCACACCACCAGUGAGACGACGUAAAGAAAAAGAAGGUAGUAAACUAUCACUCAAUCUAGAGACUGAACCCACACCACCAGUGAGACGACGUAAAGAAAAAGAAGGUAGUAAACUAUCACUCAAUCUAGAGACUGAACCCACACCACCAGUGAGACGACGUAAAGAAAAAGAAGGUAGUAAACUAUCACUCAAUCUAGAGACUGAACCCACACCACCAGUGAGACGACGUAAAGAAAAAGAAGGUAGUAAACUAUCACUCAAUCUAGAGACUGAACCCACACCACCAGUGAGACGACGUAAAGAAAAAGAAGGUAGUAAACUAUCACUCAAUCUAGAGACUGAACCCACACCACCAGUGAGACGACGUAAAGAAAAAGAAGGUAGUAAACUAUCACUCAAUCUAGAGACUGAACCCACACCACCAGUGAGACGACGUAAAGAAAAAGAAGGUAGUAAACUAUCACUCAGUAUGGAGACCCAACCCACACCACCAGUGAGACGACGUAAAGAAAAAGAAGGUAGUAAACUAUCACUCAAUCUAGAGACCGAACCCACACCAUCAGUGAGACGACGUAAAGAAAAAGAAGGUAGUAAACUAUCACUCAAUCUAGAGACUGAACCCACACCACCAGUGAGACGACGUAAAGAAAAAGAAGAUAUUCAAUUAUCACUCAAUCUGGAGGCCGAACCCACACCACCAGCAAGACGAUGUAAAGAAAAAGAAGAAAGAGCAUUAUCACUUGAUCUGGAGACCCAACCAACACCACCAGAAAGACUAUGUAAAGAAAAAGAAGAAAGUACAUUAUCACUUAAUCUAGAGACCCAACCAACACCAACAGCAAGACAAUGUAAAGAAAAAGAAGAUAUUCAAUUAUCACUUGAUAUGGAGACCCAACCCACACCACCAGCAAGACUAUGUAAAGAAAAAGAAGAAAGAGCAUUAUCACUUGAUCUGGAGAUCCAACCAACACCACCAGAAAGACUAUGUAAAGAAAAAGAAGAAAGUACAUUAUCACUUGAUCUGGAGACCCAGCCCACACCACCAGCAAGACUAUGUAAAGAAAAAGAAAGUACAUUAUCACUUGAUCUAGAGACCCAACCAACACCACCAGCAAGACUAUGUAAUGAAAAAGAAGAUAGACAAUUAUCGCUUGAUCUGGAGACCCAACCAACACCACCAGCAAGACUAUGUAAAGAAGAAAGUACAUUAUCACUUGAUCUAGAGACCCAAACCACACCACCAGAAAGACUAUGUAAAGAAAAAGAAGAUAUUCAAUUAUCACUUGAUAUGGAGACCAAACCCACACCACCAGCAAGACAACGUAAAGAAAAAGGUGAAGAUAAAGGAUUAUCAAUUGAUCUGGAUCUUCAACCAACUCCACCAUCAAGAAGACACAAGGAUAAGCCAGAGAGUGAGAUGUUGUUUUACAGUGCUGAAUUAGGAAAAAGUGAUAAUCAGCAAACCAGUGAACGUAGAGAAAGGAAAGAGCACACUGGUAAACCGACACCAACUGUCAGACGCAAAAUUAGUCAGGUUGAAAGUGAUGUGGCAGUUUGCAAAAACCAAGAAGAGAAAGAGUUCUUUGUGAAACCCACACCACCAGCAAAACUAUAA
ensembl:lncRNA